GGAAGACGGUGCCCAUGGCUCCGCGGCCCAGGACGCGGACUGCCCUGAGCCGGUCGAGGUCCAGCACUGCCUCCUCCAUUAGGAUUUGCAGCAAUGCGUGGUGUACGCUACAGAUGUGGUGAUGGAAAGGCAACAAAGGAGAGACGUCUCGGUGGAGGGAGUAGGAGACGAUACACACAAAAGAAAGAGAGAGAGCAGGUGGCGGGUUAUAAUGAAGUCGCUAAUCAUACAUGUACUUUUUUUGGACGGAGAUUACCGUCGAGAGUAAAAGCUUCAGGAGACAGGAGCUGCUAAGAAUUCUGGUACGAAAUCUGCAUUAAUUAAUCAUCCCAGCUUUAGUUUGACCAUUUAAUUAGAGUAUAUUUAGUGUGUUAUGUCAAAUAUUUGGCUAAGCAUUAAUACUGGCUGGCAUAAUAGUGGUAGUAAACUAUACAGUUGAGCGAUAAACCAGGAGAUUGUUAAAUGGUUAGCUAUAAUAGCCAGAGGAAUUUUGAAUGUUGAAAGUUCUUAGAAGAAGGGUAGGUAGAGUACAAUAGAAGGAGAACUGAGCUGGGAUCCUUCGCUACUCAUGUUUUCUUAUUGGUGAUAUGACUACCCGUACAUCGAUGGUCUAGAAAAUGAAGGAUUCCUUCCAUUGGAGUGAGGAGAUUGAUAACGUGAGACAAGGGGAGGGGGGGAGGAGGUGGUACGGUUGAUUUGUGUAGGAAUCACAUGCAAAGAGAAAUCAAUUCACAAGGAAUGAUAAGAUGAGUGAGGCUUUCUUCUGCAGCAGCCGAUUCCCUUCCCUACAAUAAUAAUUGCCUAUAGGCUGCUCAUCAGUCCGGAGGAAGAAGAAAAGGCUUCUUUCUCUCCCUUUCCUGUUGAUUCGUUUCAGAGCAAUUGAAGUCUGGGAGUUGCAUGGUUAACGUAUGACCGCAGCGAACAUGACUUUGCUUGAAUCAACCUUUGUAAAGCAUAUUACAUCCCUGGAUUUCAGCCGGAAAUUGGGUGAUCUCCACUUUUGUUAUGCUAUUUGUUAAUUUCUCUUCUUUGGUAGGGUUGGCAUUAAGAUAAUCUAAAUAUAAGAGAGAGGGAGAGAGAGAGAGAGAGAGAGGACUUAACUAAUAGUACAAAAGAAGGUUCCUUUGGUAAGGUGGUAGACUUAAAUUUUGGUACACAUUACAUGUAGCAAUGUGACAGGAUACUACUGCUUUCUAAGACUGAAGUGGGAUGAUAGGUUAGUCACAAGGGUAUUUAGUACACGAAAAAAAAAAGGUCCUUCCGAGUAGGUGCAUCAACAAAGAAGAUCAUCUAGUGAUCUUAGGAUUUCUUUGGUUGGAAGAUAAAGUGAUCACUUAAAUUGCAAUGCUGUUCCUAAUCAAGUGAAUUAAAGAUUCAAACAAUAUGUUGGACCAUUAAUUAGUAAUCUACCCCAGAACUACAUUUCUGAUCAGUAUUUUUAUCCAAAGUUUUGCAGUUUUCAGUAUCUAGUUUCAAGUUUCUUUUCUUCAGGAAAUUUACUGACUUCUACUAAACUAAGUUGUCAAUGUUAAGAAGCAUCAAGUCAACUUCUUGUACUGUAUACAACACUAUCCCAUUUCUUAGUUGUUAAUCCAACAAGGAGAAAUCAUAAUGAAUGCAUUGGUUUAACUAGGACAAGUACAAAUGGCUAAGUCAACAUGUAAUUAGUUUGCCAACAUGACAACCUAGAAAGUCCUCAGCAAGAGUAAGGAGAUUUUUCAGAUGAUUGAGACACACAUCAAGCAUGGCUAUGACUUUGUUCUCAAAGCUCUACAUGAUCUGGCUUGCGUUCCAGCUCACGGCAUGGCUGAUGAUUAAUUCUACUACAUCUGAUC